GAUGAAGAACGCAGCGAAAUGCGAUAAGUAGUGUGAAUUGCAGAAUUCAGUGAAUCAUCGAAUCUUUGAACGCACAUUGCGCCCUUUGGUAUUCCUUAGGGCAUGCCUGUUCGAGCGUCAUUUAAACCUUCAAGCUAAGCUUGGUGUUGGGUGACUGUCCGCUUCACUGCGGACUCGCCUCAAAAUUAUUGGCGGCCGGUACAUUGGCUUCGAGCGCAGCAGAAACGCGAACUCGGGCCCGUCGUAUUGGCUCCCAGAAGCUAUCUUCACAAUUUUGACCUCGGAUCAGGUAGGGACACCCGCUGAACUUAAGCAUAUCAAUAGGCGGAGGA
rnacentral:misc_RNA from 1 species